UUAUACACUUGGAUGUGAAGAAAGAAAAAAA
rnacentral:piRNA from 1 species